GCCCUGGCAAUGUCUCGCGGGAGUCGUCCCGGCGCUCGCCGGGUUGACCGUGCUCCUGCAGAGACAGGUUCUACGGAGUGGCCCCAACUCGGAUGCCUCUAGCUCCCUCCCGAUCUCCACACCAACUCAGACCGAGGUCUAUGGGAGGUUUGUUUGAUUUUCUUCACUUGGAUGCAUAGUUUCACUGUACAGCGAGCAGACUGGAUUUCAAUUCCCUGAGAUGCUCCUGCCUCGGCCCCCUGAAAGCGGAACUCACAGAUGAGCGUCACCACGCGGGAACCUAUUUGCUGUUUUGAAGGUGUGACACAGUGAUUUAGUUCCUUACCCCGUUCUGCUGCGACGUCCUCAUUCUAAAUGGGUCAGCAGUCUGAAAAGGACACGGCUGUUGAGGGGCACAGCCCCAACCCCAGCUCAGAUCCCCAAACUAUCCACGAUGACACGAAGGCUUGGAGGACGCUCACUAAUGAUUCUAAUCUCCGGAGGGUGCUAGGGGCUUCACCUGCGGCCGUGGACCAUCUCUUCGGGUAGUGUGCGUGCACUGUAGGAGUUGUGCACUUUGCCCAACCCUUCUCUGCCGCAUUUGAAACUACUUUGGGUGCAUUCUGCUGCUACUUUUUCUGUGAGACUUCUCGCUGCUGUUGAAAAAGUAAAAAAGAAGGAAAGUAGGAGGGAUCAAGUUUUCAUUUCGAGGUUCUGAACGUUCUAUUUGACCCUGUCUUCUCUGGGAAUCGUGAAAAGGUGACUCGUUCUGUAACAUAGGUGACAAGGAAAAGGGGCCUUCAGAAUGCAGAACUCUAACUAAGCCCAUCCUCCAGCAGCAAGUCGGCCCUGAUUCAGUCUUGCUACUCUCCAUGACAAUAAUGGAUUAAACCUCUGAAAGCGUAAGCCAGACCCAAUGAGAUGUUUUCCUUUAGAAGAGCUGCCGAAUGGAGUCUCUUCAUGGCAAUAAAACCCCUGAGACAAGA
rnacentral:lncRNA from 1 species